rnacentral:lncRNA from 1 species
UAAGCAUUAAAAAGAUGAACGAUGAAAACCAGAAAAAGCCAAAAUAAAUUAGUUUACAUAUUUUUCCUUCCUGAACUCGAUUAAGACUUCUCAGAGGGAACCUGCACAUUGCUUGUGAAGGUUCUUUCCUCACUCGCCGGCCCGAGACCUCGCCCCUUCCUACCCUGCAUCGACUGCAGCUGGUCUGCGGCAAAACUGAGCUGAGAAAUAUGAAUUGUAUCCUUCAAAAAAGAGAAAUUAUUAAAAGAAUUUAGCGGCUAUAUUUUUAAUGAUAAGAUGUUCUUUUUUAUUUUUACUUAAGAACAUUCAAGACAUCAUUUUUGAAAUGUACCACAAAACCAAAAUAGACCGUAGUUAAUAUCAUUAACUUAUUAUUUUAAAAAUAACAAAGAUCGGGGAGUAAAAACCAAAAUAUUAACUAAAAUUCUAAUCUGGCAGUAUUUUAAUGCCCCUCCUCUGCUUCCAGUAUUCCGGAAAGGAUUCUGAAGUAGUCUUGAGAAAUACUAAAGAUAUAUUUUAGAACAAUAUUUAUUACUAUAAUAUAUCAAAUUUUAAUUUAAAACGCUUCUUUUGUUCCUAGAGAAGAAAUAAAAGGUACCCUGUGAACUGAGGAAUGAAUAUCCCAAGUCUGAGCAGAGCGCUGCCUUGGGGCAACUUUCCUCUCUUCCCAGUCCCGCAUCCCUGAAGAAGCGACUGGGAUUAACCCGCAUCAGUCCGUGGACAGCUCAGGUCUUGACCUCUUUGCAGAGCAGAGCAGACCCAGGGUGCCCGGUGCUGCUCGGGACAGGCAGGAGCCCUGUAUGUGCAAACAGAACCAAGUCCUUCCAAUUCAGCCCGUUACCUCUUCACACAUGCUGUUUACUACAGAAAGUGUAAUAGAGAAGUAUUCUUGCCUAGCAACUCUCCUAAAAUAAGCAUUAAAAAGAUGAACGAUGAAAACCAGAAAAAGCCAAAAUAAAUUAGUUUACAUAUUUUUCCUUCCUGAACUCGAUUAUAACUUCUUCAACGUUAUUAAGCAAAAAUCAACUUUUAUAGAAUACUGAUCUUUGAUCAUUUUUACAAAUGG